rnacentral:rRNA from 1 species
GACAGAGGGUGCAAACGUUGCUCGGAAUCACUGGGCGUAAAGGGCGUGUAGGCGGGAAGGAAAGUCAGAUGUGAAAUCCCUGGGCUCAACCCAGGAACUGCAUUUGAAACUCCCUUUCUUGAGUGUCGGAGAGGAAAGCGGAAUUCCUGGUGUAGAGGUGAAAUUCGUAGAUAUCAGGAGGAACACCGGUGGCGAAGGCGGCUUUCUGGACGACAACUGACGCUGAGACGCGAAAGCGUGGGGGAGCGAACAGG